UUUCUACUCUUAGAGAAUCCGGUACAUCUUUGAUCAUAUAUUUUAAUUGGUAUUGGAUGAGAACUCCAUUAACUUCCUGUGGAGCAUUCCAUUUAACGAUGUAUUCACUAUAACUACCAGAAAAAAACACGGAUACAGCUGGUAAAAGCAAACAUUGUGGUGUGAUAUGCAUUCUUCAAGCAUGUGCCCGGGGUAAUUUCAAAAAGGAGGUGGAUAUUUCGUGACGACUUGUCGUUAGAAUCUUACUGUCUGGAUAUUGAGAGAACUUAAAACGGCGAUCAGAUUGGCGAACUCUGACUACAUUGUAGCCAGCUGCCCAGCGGACAACUCUGUUUUUCAGUCUGCUUUCUAAUCCUUCUGCCCCAUAAAAAAUACGUCAUUUAUUAUAAAUAUAAAGAAACAUCGUUCGACUAAUAAAAUAAAACAAAAACCAGGUAUAACUGGAUGCUUCACCAGCGUCGUUGGAUGCAAGACAUUGGAACAUUCCUGAGUCAUCCAUGGUUAAUUUUUUAAUUGUUAAGGAGCCAUCUUCUUCCAGUGCGUACCUAUACAUAAAAGUGCAGAAGAAUAUAGAAAUAGGAAGAUAGGAGAAUUUUGAAUUUGAUAGAUGAUUUCAGUUAAAAUACACACUUUAGGUAGCAAUUAA